UUUUAAUUUAAAUUUUAUUGUUAUUCUUGUUCAGUCUCUCUGGCAUGUCCGACUCUUUGCAACCCCAUGGACUGCAGCAUGCCAGGCCUCCCUGUCCUUCACCAUCCCAGAACUUGCUCAAACUCAUGUCCAUCGAGUCAGUGAUGCCAUCUAACCAUC